rnacentral:misc_RNA from 1 species
UUAGCAAGAAGUGUAAUUAGAAAUACAACAAUGGCAACAUUGAUUCCACUGAAACUUGUCCAAACAGGAAGCUCCAAAAUGUCAUCCAAGAAUCAGUCCCUCAAAAAGAAAGAACAGCAAGUUUACUCUUUCGUAACAGCAUAGACAAGGAUACAUUACUAUCUUUUGAGAUUAGAAUCUUGCAAUCAGUUCAGCCAGGAUCAUUGGAAAAACUCCUUGCUUCAUUUCAAAAUGGCUAUAACUGAUCCUCAAUUAAGUCAACCCUACAAAUGUCCCUUUGAUGAUAUUAAGUAAGUGGAAGCAUUUCCUUUUGUUAUCAUCUUCAGUGAAUCCAACCCAAAUCUGCAGAAGUCCUGAGCGCACUUUCUACCAGUUAUCUGCGAUGAAAUAGUGAAAUCAGCAUAUGAUAUGAGCAUAAAAGAUAGGGCAGCCCAUUGAAACUCACUUGUUGCAUUUCAAUAAAAGAGCUAAGAAACCACAGUUUUCAAUACCCGAAAGGAAGCAGCUAUAUAAGGAAUUAUGGUUCAGGGAAGAAGGGUAGAUGAUUCUUCCAUAGUUCCAUUUGUUCCCAAGAAGCUGAAAUUUCCUGAUCACAUAUUUGGCAGUAACAUGGAUUGUUACGGAUGAAUUUCAGUGAAAAGAAAAUUGAUCUUCACUUUUGCUUUUGGGAUUUGAAUAACUAUACAACAUAAAUGCAUUGAGUCAAUCUAUAGCCUUCCCUUUUUCUCUUCUCAUGACUAACAUAUAAAUAAAUUACAAAGAAAAACAUUACCCCAACAUAUAGCUGCCUGCAAUAGUAGAGUUGUCCAUCCACUUUGUGCCAACCCCAACUUAGCUGCUUGCAUUAGUAGUGUUGUCCAUCCAGUUUGUGCCUAUUAGCACCAUGUUAUGUCAUGAAGUUGCAACUCUAACAUUGUGUCUCCUGCAGUGUGAUCAUAAUAUAACAGGAAAUGCUAAAGAUCUGCAACAGUUUGCCUCUGACCACCUUGAAAAAUUAUAUUUACCUUUUUCUUAUCAAUUAAAAAUAGUGACUGAAAACUUAUACAGAAGAUAAAAACAUGUGCAAGCCCAGGCAAAUGUUCCUCAUAUGCUCGCAGCACAGAUUUUUCACAUUUCUUCCUACCUUACUCAAAUCCAUCCAGAUCAUUUUGAUCUCUGUGUAUAUAUGUUGAAAGCAGGCAGGCUCAUGUGCUCACUGUUUGAGUGCUAAACCAUCAUUAAUUUAUUCGAACACAGGGGAUGUGAGAAAUGAUAGGCCAGUAAUCUCUCCCUUUAUCUUUUAAGCAAUGUCUCGCAGUAGAGGGCAGCUGGAAAUAGAUAGUUCUUCAAAUGUAGCAGGGAAGCCCUCAUAUUUGUACCUGCAAUAUCAGAAUUAGAUGGGCUGGAAAACAAGGAUAGAUUCCAAAGAGGAACAGCUUGAAUCAAAUUUAACCAAAAGUUUCAUGCAACAUAAUUUUUGGAAGAAACAGGUCAGUCACUCAAGAGAUGAUCCUGAUUAAUUGUUUAUCUCAAGACGAGGGAUAUGAGAAAUGAAAGGCCAGUAAUCUCCCCCUUUGUCUUUUAAGCAACGGUCUCGCAAUAGAGGGAAGCCCUCAGCUGGGAAGGA